GAAGCUGCGAAGAUGGCGGAGUAAGGCGUGCCGCUGCAAACUGGCCUCUGGGCCGGGGGCGAGCAGCCCCCGGGAGGCCGAGUGCAUCUGUUGGACCGUGCGAGGAGAAGAAAAAAAAUAUCGGCCAGAGGAGAGGAACUAACCGAACAUUCUUCCUCCCUACCUUAUAGAGGGGAGUGGUCAUCUACACUAAAGCAAAGUGUUAGGCGCGUCCGUGCGAAGAGACCACCAAACAGGCUUUGUGUUCCUUAUCACAGGAAGAAAAUUUUCCUUGACCUUUAGGUGCUUUUAUAUUCAUCUCAAAAACAAAAUUCUGAACUCAGGACUUGGCAAACCACCGCUGAAACUUCACUUCUACACAGAGGCUUUCUUUCCCAGAAACCCAGACCAGAUGGAGUUUCACUCUGUCGCCCAGGCUGGAGUGCAGUGGCACGAUCUCGGCUGACUGCAGCCUCUACCUGCUGGGUUCAAGCAAUUCUUCUGCCUCAGGUUCCUGAGUAGCUGGGAUUACAGAGUUUCGCUCUCAAUGGCAAGCUCUCGGCUCACUGCAACCUCUGCCUCCCAGGUUCAAGCGAUUCUCCUGCCUCAGCCUCCCGAAAAGCUGGGAUUAUAGGCAUGCGCCAACACGCCCGGCUAAUUUUGUAUUUUUAGUAGAGAUGGGAUUUCUCCAUGUUGGUCAGGCUGGUCUCAAACUCCCGACCUGAGGUGAUCUGCCUGCCUCAGCCUCCCAAAGUGCUGGGAUUACAGGCAUAAGCCACCAUGCCCAGCCUUCUUUUUUUCUUUUUUUUUUUUUUGAGACAGAUUUUCACUCUUGUUGCUCAGGCUAGAGUGCAAUGGCAUGAUCUUGCCUCACAACAACCUCUAUCUCGCAGGUUCAAGUGCUUCUCCUGUCUCAACCUCCCAAGUAGCUGGGAUUACAGGCAUGUGCCACCACGCCCGGCUAAUUUUGUAUUUUUAGUAGAGACAGGGUUUCUCCAUGUUGGUCAGGCUGGUCUCGAACUACUGAUCUCGGGUUAUCCAUCCGCCUCAGCCUCCCAAAGUGCUGGGAUUACAGGCGUGAGCCACCACGCCCAGGCAAGAAUUAUUUUUUUUUGAGACGCAGUCUCGCUCUGUUGCCCAGGCUGGAGUGCAGUGGCGCAGUCUCGGCUCACUGCAACCUCCACCACCUGGGUUCAAGCGAUUCUCCUGCCUCAGUCUCCUAAGUAGCUGGGAUUACAGGCGCCCACCACCAUGACCGGCUAAAUUUUUUUUUUUUUUUUUUUUGAGACAGAGUCUUGCUCUGUUGCCCAGGCUGGAAUGCAGUGGCGCAAUCUCAGCUCACUGCAACCUCCACCUCCCAGUUCAAGCAAUUCUCCUGCCUCUGCCUCCCGAGUAGCUGGGACUACAGGCACGUGCCACCACGCCCGGCUAAUUUUUUGUAUUUGUAAUAGAGAUGGGGUUUCACUGUGUUAGCCAGGAUGGUCUCCAUCUCCUGACCUCAUGUUCUGCUCGCCUUGGCCUACCAAAGUGCUGGGAUUACAGGCGUGAGCCACCACGCCCGGCCAGGAAUUCUUAAUAACUGUUUCAUCACUCUUAUGUCUGAGACAGUUGAGCAAUUACAAGGUAUUUGCAAAGAAGACACCUCUAUGGCAAGAUGAUGAUAUCCAUUCCCAGCACAAAGGAGAAUGCAGGAGUGCAGCAGUUGAGCAGCUUUUCCUUUCUUCCUGAACUAUACCUUACAGUGUGGUUUUAGUAUUUUGUUUUUCAUUACAAAUUCAAUAGGGAAGGUCAAAUCAAGUAAAAAGGAUUAUUGAGCAUCAUGCCAUUUCAUCAUCCCCAAGUUCAUUGGUAGAAGUUAUCAAGAGUUGUCUGUAUUUUAAAAAAGCAUACAACCAUCAUGAAAUUUUACCUCUGCAAUCUUUUCUGAUAGAGGAACAUUUUGAAUAUCCAUCUCUGAUGCAUUUACUAUGGCUUU
ensembl:lncRNA OIP5-AS1 OIP5 antisense RNA 1